AACGAACGCUGGCGGCAUGCCUAACACAUGCAAGUCGAACGAGACCUUCGGGCCUAGUGGCGCACGGGUGCGUAACGCGUGGGAACCUGCCCUUAGGUUCGGAAUAACUCCCCGAAAGGGGUCCUAAUACCGGAUAAUGUCUUCGGACCAAAGAUUUAUCGCCUUUGGAUGGGCCCUCGUUGGAUUAGCUAGUUGGUAGGGUAAAAGCCUACCAAGGCGACGAUCCAUAGCUGGUCUGAGAGGAUGAUCAGCCACAAUGGGACUGAGACACGGCCCAGACUCGUACGGGAGGCAGCAGUGGGGAAUAUUGGACAAGGGGCGAAAGCCUGAUACAGCAAUGCCGCGGGAGUGAUGAAGGCCUUAGGGUUGUAAAGCUCUUUUACCCGGGGUGAUAAUGACAGUAACGGGAGAAUAAGCUCCGGCUAACUCCGUG
rnacentral:rRNA from 1 species